CCGGCGACCGGCGCACGGGUGAGUAACACGUAUGCAACCUGCCCUCUUCAGGGGGACAACCUUCCGAAAGGGAGGCUAAUCCCGCGUAUAUCGGUUUCGGGCAUCCGAGGAUCGAGGAAAGAUUCAUCGGAAGAGGGAUGGGGCAUGCGGCGCAUUAGCUAGACGGCGGGGUAACGGCCCACCGUGGCGACGAUGCGUAGGGGUUCUGAGAGGAAGGUCCCCCACCACUGGUACUGAGACACGGACCAGACUCCUACGGGAGGCAGCAG
rnacentral:rRNA from 1 species